rnacentral:misc_RNA from 1 species
AAGUCGUAACAAGGUUUCCGUAGGUGAACCUGCGGAAGGAUCAUUAAAGAAUAUCGAAGGCUUCACAUCUUAUUCACCCUUUGUAUUAAACUUUGUUUGUUUGGCAGCGCCUUUCCGGGGCCUGCCAGAGGACCCGAAAACCCUAGAAUCUCUGCCGUCUGAGUACUAUAUAAUAGUUAAAA